UCCGGGCAGGUGGCUGGAGGG
rnacentral:miRNA from 1 species